rnacentral:rRNA from 1 species
AGAGUUUGAUCAUGGCUCAGAGCGAACGCUGGCGGCAGGCUUAACACAUGCAAGUCGAGCGGGCGUAGCAAUACGUCAGCGGCAGACGGGUGAGUAACGCGUGGGAACAUACCUUUUGGUUCGGAACAACCCAGGGAAACUUGGGCUAAUACCGGAUAAGCCCUUACGGGGAAAGAUUUAUCGCCGAAAGAUUGGCCCGCGUCUGAUUAGCUAGUUGGUGAGGUAACGGCUCACCAAGGCGACGAUCAGUAGCUGGUCUGAGAGGAUGAUCAGCCACAUUGGGACUGAGACACGGCCCAAACUCCUACGGGAGGCAGCAGUGGGGAAUAUUGGACAAUGGGGGCAACCCUGAUCCAGCCAUGCCGCGUGAGUGAUGAAGGCCCUAGGGUUGUAAAGCUCUUUUGUGCGGGAAGAUAAUGACGGUACCGCAAGAAUAAGCCCCGGCUAACUUCGUGCCAGCAGCCGCGGUAAUACGAAGGGGGCUAGCGUUGCUCGGAAUCACUGGGCGUAAAGGGUGCGUAGGCGGGUCUUUAAGUCAGGGGUGAAAUCCUGGAGCUCAACUCCAGAACUGCCUUUGAUACUGAGGAUCUUGAGUCCGGGAGAGGUGAGUGGAACUGCGAGUGUAGAGGUGAAAUUCGUAGAUAUUCGCAAGAACACCAGUGGCGAAGGCGGCUCACUGGCCCGGUACUGACGCUGAGGCACGAAAGCGUGGGGAGCAAACAGGAUUAGAUACCCCCGUAGUCC